rnacentral:rRNA from 1 species
ACGAACGCUGGGCGGGCGUGCCUAAUACAUGCAAGUCGAACGGUUCUUUUCUAUGGAAGCUUGCUUCCACUGAGAAGAUAGUGGCGAACGGGUGAGUAACACGUGGGUAACCUGCCCAUAAGAGGGGGAUAACAUCCGGAAACGGGUGCUAAUACCGCAUAGUUUUCUUGAUCGCAUGAUUGAGAAAGGAAAGACGGCCUUUGUGCUGUCGCUUAUGGAUGGACCCGCGGCGUAUUAGUUAGUUGGUGAGGUAACGGCUCACCAAGACGAUGAUACGUAGCCGACCUGAGAGGGUGAUCGGCCACAUUGGGACUGAGACACGGCCCAAACUCCUACGGGAGGCAGCAGUAGGGAAUCUUCCGCAAUGGACGAAAGUCUGACGGAGCAACGCCGCGUGAGUGAAGAAGGUUUUCGGAUCGUAAAACUCUGUUGUCAGAGAAGAACAAGUUGGAGAGUAACUGCUCCAGCCUUGACGGUAUCUGACCAGAAAGCCACGGCUAACUACGUG